ensembl:lncRNA
AGUCACCCCCCGGCAGGAGUCAGAGCCCCCAUCCGUGGUGUUGACUGCCUCAGGAGAGGACUGGAGCCCACCCCUGCUUGACUUCUUUUCUCCAGGACGAUGGCUAAAGACAGCAUAUCCCUGCGCUCCCUGAGCAAGACAUUAAACAGAGUAGAAAGCAGGCUGCAAGCCUUGGAGACGCGGUUCCAAGACCUGGACUCAAGCCUGCAGAAGCUGGAGCAGAAGUUUGAGGUGCAGGCCGAGCUCCUGGAGAAGGAGAGGAGCCAGGACACAGCGUGGACAUCAGCGCUGGAAGACAGCCAGACCGCACAGCGCCGCUCCCAGCCGGAAGCUGCAGCCCAGCUGCGGGGCCGCGCGGCACGGAGCGCUGCGGCUCUUCCUGUUUGCUGCUCCCACACGGAG